GACGAACGCUGGCGGCGUGCCUAAUACAUGCAAGUCGAGCGCAGAAAGCAAGUGAUCGCCCUUCGGGGCGUGAACUUGUGGAACGAGCGGCGGACGGGUGAGUAACACGUGGGCAACCUGCCUGUAAGACUGGGAUAACUCGCGGAAACGUGAGCUAAUACCGGAUAAUACCUUUUAUCUCAUGAUGAGAGGUUGAAAGGCGGCUUUUAGCUGUCACUUACAGAUGGGCCCGCGGCGCAUUAGCUAGUUGGUGAGGUAACGGCUCACCAAGGCAACGAUGCGUAGCCGACCUGAGAGGGUGAUCGGCCACACUGGGACUGAGACACGGCCCAG
rnacentral:rRNA from 1 species